GACGAACCGUCCAAACGUUAUUCGGAAUCACUGGGCUUAAAGGGUGCGUAGGCGGCGCGGAAAGAUGGGUGUGAAAUCACUCGGCUCAACCGAGGAAUUGCGCCCAAAACUACCGUGCUCGAGGGAGAUAGAGGUGAGCGGAACUUAGGGUGGAGCGGUGAAAUGCGUUGAUAUCCUAAGGAACACCGGUGGCGAAAGCGGAUCACUGGAUCUCUUCUGACGCUGAGGCACGAAAGCUAGGGUAGCAAACGGG
rnacentral:rRNA from 1 species